rnacentral:rRNA from 1 species
AUGGCGCUCGACGGUGCCGAGCGUGAGAUUUUGGACGAGCAACGCGGGGAGAUCGGUUGGGACGAACUCGGCCUGGGAAAGCAGGGCGGUGUAGGUCGCGACCGCGAGCGGCAACGUCAACUGCAGCACGCAGUGCGCGCCAGGGUGUGCGCGCGGUGCCGGUGCACCGGGUGCCCGAGGAACACUGGCCACUGGAACGGCAUGUACCCGAAGCGGCCGGCGAAGAGCAUGAGCGAGGCCACGUUGGACGCCGUGGUCGGCAUGGUCGCGUGGCGCUCCACGCCUCGGCAAGCCUCACCAGCUCCGUCGCGACCCGAGCCGCCUGCACGUACACGUACAAGACCCGUACGAGUCAAGUUACACAUACGAGAUUUAAGACGAGAGAUUAGGGUUAUGACCGCCGCGCGCGUCCGGCCGAUCCGUCGAAUCCGACUGGAGUUUCUGCGGCCGCACGUCACCAAGUCCGACAGGCGUUCCAAUCGAUUUUAUCAACUCAUGGCAUCCAUGAAGUACGAUCUUCCGCUGCUGGACCGUGACACAAGGUUUACCCUAUGGCUAGUCAAGAUGCGGGCGUUGUUGGCACAGUCCGACUAUGAUGAAGCACUGGAUAGUUUUGGGAAGAACCGAAUUCAGGACUGGACUGAUGAGGAGAAAAGAAUUGAUUGUAAGGCUUUGUCACAAAUUCAAUUUCAUUUGCAUAAUAAUAUUUUGCAGGAAGUUUUGAGCGAGAAAACUGCCGCCGCUCUAUGGUUAAAGCUGGAAGGGAUUUGCAUGACUAAAUAUCUCACCAGCAAGAUGCAUCUGAAGCAAAAAUUAUUCCUGCACAGGUUACCCGAUGAAGGUAAUGUUUUGAAUCAUAUUUCAGAAUUUAAAGAGAUCAUAUCUGAUCUAGCUGCAAUGGAGGUUAAGUAUAAAGAGGAAGAUACUGCUUUAAUGUUACUUUGUUCACUGCCAAGUUCUUAUAUCAAUUUUAGAGACACCAUAUUAUACAGUCGUGAUACUCUCACGCUUAAUGAAGUUUAUGAAGCUUUGAACUCCAAGGAGAAGAUGAAAUUAAUGGUGCCUCAUGAUGGUUCAAGUUCAUCCCAAGCCGAGGGAUUAUCUGUUCGUGGCAGGACAAAGGAGAAGAACUCCAAUAAUGGAAACAGAGGCAGAAGUAAAAACGGCUAUAGGGGCCGGUCGCAAUCCAGAGACAAGAAGUAUUGCAGGUAUUGCAGGAGAGACGGGCAUGACAUCUCUGAGUGUUUCAAGUUGCAGAACAAGGAAAAGAGGAAAGGUAACAAACAAGGUGAAAAUUCUGUUAACGUUGCUCGUGAUGAUAGUUCCGAUGAUGCUCUGUUCGUUAUUGCUGGAUGUGCUGAGACCAAUGAUGAGUGGGUACUUGAUACUGCAUGCACUUUUCAUAUGUGUCCACAUAGAGAUUGGUUUAAUACUUUUGAUUCCACUACUGUUGCUGGUUCUGUUUUGGGUUUUGAUAAUUCACCAUGCAAGAUUGAAGGCAUAGGUUCUAUUCGAAUCAAGAUGUUUGAUGGCAUGAUCAGAACUUUGACAGAUGUUCGGUAUAUUCCGAAGAUGAAGAGAAAUCUUAUCUCUGUUAGUGCUCUUGAUGCAAAGGGGUACAAGUAUUCAGGUGGAGAUAGUGUUUUGAAAGUCACCAAAGGUUCCCUUAUUGUGAUGAAAGGUGAUUUAAGUUCGACCAAUGGUCUUUAUUACCUUCGAGGUUCUACUGUUUCAGAGUUAAACAAGAGAGGUCUUCUUGAUGGAUAUGAACCUAGUAAAUUGAAAUUUUGUGAGCACUGUAUCUUCGGCAAGCACAAGAGGGUGAAGUUCAAUACUUCGACCCAUACAACUGAAGGUAUUCUUGAUUAUGUGCAUUCUGAAUUAUGGGGACCAUCUCGCAAGAAAGACGUCCUUGCCGCGGGCUUGUACUUCUACGGGUUGCAGGCUACCAGCGCAGCAUACUCUUCCAUCUUCCUCAACUUGAUCGCCAUUGCCACCUUCAUUAUUGCCAUAGUGCUACGGGCUAAGAAGCAGGCACUGGCAAAUUGUCCAGGCAAGAUGAAGUUGCUUGGCUCGCUGCUCUGCAUUGGCGGGACCAUGAUGGCUGGUGAAGGUGUUCCCGCCAAUCUACUUGAUGACAAACUGAUGUCCCUACUGGGGAGCAUACAAUCCUUGGUGGUGGGUGUCUUCAUCGUCCAUGACAGAGCUGAAUGGACGCUCAAGUGGGACCUCAAGCUGCUACGGUUAUCUAUUCAAGACGUCCUUGCCGCGGGCUUGUACUUCUACGGGCUGCAGGCUACCAGCGCAACAUACUCUUUCAUCUUCCUCAACUUGAUCACCAUUGCCACCUUCAUUAUUGCCAUAGUGCUACGGGCUGAGAAGCAGACACUGGUAAAUUGUCCAGGCAAGAUGAAGCUGCUUGGCUCACUGCUCUGCAUUGGCGGGACCAUGAUGAUCGUAGCCGCCACCUCCUCCCUUCCAGAUCGAGGCUGCCACCUCCCUCCGGCCGCUGCACCGUUGCACCGCUCCGCCCUGCCCGCCUGCUCUGCCUGCCCGACUGCUGCGCCGGCCAUGGCGUACCAGUACCACCACCAGGACCACGCCGCGGCCGCGCUGGGGAUGGACCCGGCGGCGGCGGGGAACCCCGGCGGCGGCUUCGCGCCAGGCCUGGGUGCAGGCGCGCCCGGCGGGUGGGAGAGGGAGAAGGCGGCCAUCGAGGUGCACCCGCUGUACGAGCGGCUGCUGGAGGUGCACGUCGCCUGCCUGCGUGUCGCCACCCCCGUCGACCAGCUCCCCCGCAUCGACGCACAGAUCGCCGCGCGCGCCCCGCCGCCCAUGCCCCCCGCCGCCGCGCCCUCCGGCGGCGGGGAGCUCAACCUCUUCAUGGUGAGCUGCUGCUACCACCAGGCCUUUCUUCACCCCAAGCUCAAGGUGAAGAAGGCCAUCGAGAAGGGCAACGCCGAUGGCGCCCAGAUAUAUGCCGAGAACGCCAUCCGCAAGUGCACCGAGCACAUGAACUACCUCCGCCUCGCCCUAUACGCCCAUGAGUGA